rnacentral:rRNA from 1 species
UGGCGGACGGGUGAGUAAUGUCUGGGAAACUGCCUGGUGGAGGGGGAUAACUACUGGAAACGGUAGCUAAUACCGCAUAACGUCGCAAGACCAAAGAGGGGGACCUUCGGGCCUCUUGCCAUCGGAUGUGCCCAGAUGGGAUUAGCUAGUAGGUGGGGUAAUGGCUCACCUAGGCGACGAUCCCUAGCUGGUCUGAGAGGAUGACCAGCCACACUGGAACUGAGACACGGUCCAG